rnacentral:tRNA from 1 species
AAGCUAUUAAUUUCAAUUUGAA